CUGUACAAAGCCCGCUCGAGAUCGCCCUCGCGCUUUCCUUCCACCCUCCUAAAGAGAGAGAAAGGGGUCGUCGUCGUCGUCGGCGGCGGCGGCGGCGGCGGCGGAGAAGAUGAAGACGAUAUUGGCGUCGGAUACGAUGGACAUCCCGGAAGGGGUGAAGGUCCGGGUUAAGGCGAAGGUGAUCGAGGUCAAGGGACCCCGCGGUAAACUCACCCGCAACUUCAAGCACCUGAACCUUGACUUCCAGCUUACCGACGGCGGCCAGAAGCUCAAGGUCGACGCUUGGUUUGGCUCGCGGAAGACAAUGGCGGCCAUCCGCACCGCCAUCAGCCACGUCCAAAACCUCAUCACCGGCGUCACCAAGGGCUUCCGCUACAAGAUGCGCUUCGUCUACGCCCACUUCCCCAUCAACGCCUCCAUCACCAACUCCAAUAGCACCAUUGAGAUCCGUAACUUUCUUGGUUUCGAUCUUUGUUCGCUAGGGUUUCUGAGAUGUUUGAUGAUUGGAACAUGGUGCGGAAAGUGGAUAUGCUUGAAGGAGUGACAAUUGUUCGGUCCGACAAGGUCAAGGAUGAGCUUAUUAUUGAGGGUAGUGAUAUUGAACUUGUUUCCCGAUCUGCUGCCUUGAUCGACCACGUUAACAUCUAAAUUGCUGAAAUGCCACGUAAAGAAUAAGGAUAUUAGAAAGUUUUUGGAUGGAAUUUAUGUUAGCGAGAAAGGAACCAUGGUUGGAGAAUAGUAGACAUCAACCGGCAUCUUGGGUCAUCUCAGUAUCCGCCAUCCACCAAGACUCAUAAUCAGGGCAUGUGCUCUCACUCCAGUACUGGUAUGCCCCUCACUACAGACAUGAUCUUUGGCUUUCACUAGACAGACCAGUCAUGGCUUGUCGAGUGAGCUUUGGAGUAGGUUAAAGAAUGAGCUGCGCCGCACUUUGAUGAGCUUUGCCUGUUGAGGCUUUAAUUGAUCAUGUCAAGGGGCUAUAUAGCUACAUGUUUUAUGCUUAAUUCUUUGUUGGAAGAAGCUAGUGUUCUGGUACCUCAAUUUGAGGACUGCAAAUAGGGUAGUGAAUUGGGAUGCUAGCAUCUUGGUAAUGGUAGCAAGUUUCAGUGUGCCACUUUGUUGUAGGAUCCGAUUGUUCAGUUGCAGCUUUACUAAGAAUUUUAGGUGCUGAGUAUGCAUGCA